GUAGGGAAUAUUGGGCAAUGGUCGGAAGACUGACCCAGCCAUGCCGCGUGCAGGAAGACGGCCCUCUGGGUUGUAAACUGCUUUUAUCUGGGAAGAAAAAGUCCAUGCGUGGCAAAUUGCCGGUACCAGAUGAAUAAGCACCGGCUAACUCCGUGCCAGCAGCCGCGGUAAUACGGAGGGUGCGAGCGUUGUCCGGAUUUAUUGGGUUUAAAGGGUGCGUAGGCGGCUGAUUAAGUCAGCGGUGAAAGACUUCGGCUUAACCGGAGCAGUGCCGUUGAUACUGGUUGGCUUGAGUGUCGGAGGGGUACAUGGAAUUGAUGGUGUAGCGGUGAAAUGCAUAGAUACCAUCAGGAACACCGAUAGCGAAGGCAUUGUACUGGCCGACAACUGACGCUGAUGCACGAAAGUGUGGGGAUCGAACAGGAUUAGAUACCCUAGUAGUCC
rnacentral:rRNA from 1 species